rnacentral:rRNA from 1 species
GGAAUUGCUAGUAAUGGCAGGUCAGCAUACUGCCGUGAAUACGUUCCCGGGCCUUGUACACACCGCCCGUCACACCAUGAGAGUUGGGAAUACCCGAAGCCUGUGAGCUAACGAAAGAGGCAGCAGUCGAAGGUAGAAUCAAUGAUUGGGGUGAAGUCGUAACAAGGUACC